rnacentral:lncRNA from 1 species
GCCAGAUAUAAAUUUUUGACUAAGUGUGUUAAUUUAAAAAAAAAAGCUGUUCUUUGAAAUUGAGGACGGUACAAAAAAUGUGAUUUAAUAACUAGUCUACAUUAAAUCUUAAGAGAAGGUUAUUUUGCUGUAAUUGGUAGUUGCCAAUUUGUUAACUUGAUGAAAGUUUGACAUUUUAAAGGUGCCAAUUUUUGAUAAACAGUUGUGAACAAAUGCUAUUAAGCUAAAUUUAUAAGAUAUAAUUGUGUUUAUUGAAUACCAGAGUAAUUGCUAAAAAACUUGAUGAUUGGUGUAAAUUACCAAUUUAAUCAAAUAAUAUGAAACUGAAAACUGCGUUAACUAUGUGGUAAAAUUUAAUAGAAUUAUGCAGUGUUUUCUUCUUCUUCCACACUUGUUUAUUCAACACACUUUUAGUGCUAGAUAAAUG